rnacentral:rRNA from 1 species
UACGUAGGGUGCAAGCGUUUGUCCGGAAUUAUUGGGCGUAAAGCGCUCGCAGGUGGUCCGAUGCGUCGUGCGUGAAAGACCCCGGCUCAACUGGGGGGUGUCGUGCGAUACGGUCGGACUGGAGGCCAGUAGGGGGAUGCGGAAUUCCGGGUGUAGUGGUGGAAUGCGCAGAUAUCAGGAGGAACACCGAUGGCGAAGGCAGAUCUCUGGGCCGUAACUGACGCUGAGGAGCGAAAGCAUGGGGAGCGAACAGG